rnacentral:tRNA from 1 species
AAUGAUGUGCCUGAAAAAAAGGAUUACUUUGAUAGAGUAAAAUAUGUUAUUAACCUUCAUUA